rnacentral:misc_RNA from 1 species
UACAGUUACCGACGAAAUUUCUGUAUCGGUUGUGGUAGAUAUUGGCUCGAGCGUAGUGAUGGGUAUAGUUGUAGGUAAAUCAGUAGGUGCCGUUGUUGAUAUAGUAGUGGAAUCAGGGUCAUCCGUUUUAAAGGUAACAGUCGUAGGAUCGACGGUACUAACUGUCUCCGUUGUAAAGGAAGGAGUACUGUCAGUUAGUGGUAUGGUUACAGUUUCUGAAGUAGUUUCAGUAUCGGUGGUUGUAGAGAU